AAUUCUUUCCUUUAGUUAGCAUUAGGGUUUUAAACCCUAAACUGAAUUUUUCCAUUCAGUUAGUAUUAGGGUUUUAAACCCUAAACUGAACUUUUCCAUUUAGUCAGCAUUAGGGUUUUAAACCCUAAAUGAACUUUUCCAUUCAGUCAGCAUUAGGGUUUUAAACCCUAAACUGAACUUUUUCCAUUUAGUCAGCAUUAGGGUUUUAAACCCUAAACUGAACUUUUCCAUUUAGUCAGCAUUAGGGUUUUAAACCCUAAACUGAACUCUUUCCUGUAGUCAGCAUUAGGGUUUUAAACCCUAAACUGAAUUUUUCCAUUCAGUCAGCAUUAGGGUUUUAAACCCUAAACUGAAUUUUUCCAUUCAGUCAGUAUUAGGGUUUUAAACCCUAAACUGAACUUUUCCAUUUAGUCAGCAUUAGGGUUUUAAACCCUAAACUGAACUUUUCCAUUCAGUCAGCAUUAGGGUCUUAAACCCUAAACUGAACUUUUUCCAUUUAGUCAGCAUUAGAGUUUUAAACCCUAAACUGAACUUUUCCAUUCAGUCAGCAUUAGGGUUUUAAACCCUAAACUGAAUUUUUCCAUUCAGUCAGCAUUAGGGUUUUAAACCCUAAACUGAAUUUUUCCAUUCAAUCAGUAUUAGGGUUUUAAACCCUAA
rnacentral:lncRNA from 1 species